CACUCGUGGCUCGGGCACAGCCGCCUGGGAGCUGCGGCUGGGCGAGGGGCGAGGAGGACACCGCCGGCUCCGUGCUUCCUGCCCCGCACCUGCGGGCACGGUCGCAGGAAGGCGUGAGCUAGGCUAGAGCAGAAGGAAAAAAAAAAACCAAACAAAAAAAGUAAUAAUAAUAAUAAGGCUGCCCCUUCAGAUGAUGUGUUGGGAGGAGGCUGGAGCUGGAAGAGCAACUGUGACAUUUGUGAUCACCAUGUGGUGAGCAGAGGAAACUCCCCUCUCUUCCACCCUCAUGUCAGGAGCCUGUGCUGGAGGAGCAAAGGUCUGUGCCAUCGAUAUCUAAAAAUGCUGGGGGUUAUGUUUCCUCUUCCCAAUCUCUUAUCUCGCAGGAGUCAGUGAAUCCAAAGCUUCUUCUCCAAGGAUAGUCUUACUCCAGUGAGCCCACAGAGAUGGAUACUGCCCAGCCUCUGACGCUGCCUACGACCGAGACACAGCGGCUGCACAUGACGGUGGUCACCCUUCAGUGUGGACUGUUCAGUGCACAUGCAGGAGCAGAGAAGAAAGUUUCAUUGGUCUAAGAGAGCUGGGCUAAGAAACUCUUAAAUGCAUUCUUUGCAGGACCAAGAAUAAUUCAGUGCUUCUUUCCUACCCCUUGAACUGGCUCUUUUCCUUUAGCUUGGUUAGUGCAUUCUGUAACAACAUCACAUAAAUUCCAAAGGAAGAAAAGGAUGGAAUUAUUUAAAACUAAAUAAUUAUUCACUGUGAUUGGUUUGGCUUCCCGAAAUUAAAGUUGCCCCUUUCAGAAUGCAGUGGUGGAUAAGAAAGAAAAGAUGAGAGUAACAAAACCAAAGAGAGAUGGAAGUGAAUGGGGAAAAUAACCUAAUGUGCAGGUACUGUUUCAUCUUCUGGCUGGAAGAUCUUUCCCCUCACCACAGAGAGUUUUCCAAGGAUGACUACUAUAUUAAAAGAAAGCCUGUUUUCAACUACAUCAGCCCUGUGGUCAAAUGAGGAAUGCAAGAACUCAGAUUGCUAUCUGCCUCAUACAAAUAUUUCAGUAGAGACGAUAUGCACUGUAAGCACCCUUCUCUGUCAGGUAUUUGUUCACUUACCACCUCAAAACUUUACCUCUUAGACAAAUGGAUCCCCCCAAACCUAUGUUCUAGGAAGUGUUGGACAUGCUUCAGGUUUGGAUAAGUCACUUACGGGCUUGAAUGCAGAAGCCCAGAGGAAAAACCGUGUUUUGCAGCCAGUGCCUACACAGAGGACGGCAGCAAUGCACACAGCCAGGGGCCAAAUGCCCUGCAAGUGGGUGCAUCUUCAUCUGUCUCUCUGCCAAAGCACUUCCAGAAAGAUGUUGUAAAGGAGGGAGACCAAAGAGGAGCAGCUUCUCGUCACGCCUUCCAUGUAGGUGCUGCCAUGGGGCUAUGUAGAGGGUGUGGCCACCACAAUUCCCAGCUGAUGGUGAGAUGGAUGAUGUCCUCAGGGUGCAGACCAAGGGUGGGAAACAGGGCCCACAAGGUCAUGUCAACCCUCACGACUCAGACAUGCCCCUCUCCUACAAGAACACUAUUCUAAGUUCAUGCUGCCAGCUGGACCUCACCCCUUCUCAGCAGCCCGCCAGCCUCACACACCAGGGAUGCCAGCCCAAAGGUGGGUUAGCCACCUCCACUCAGGCUUUUUGUCCCUUCAUGGAACCAAACCAGUUCCCAUCACCCCAGGUUAAUGACCUUGGCUCUACUGGGAGGGAAAUGGCCCCAGAUCUGCCCUUCAGGCAGGGUGCUCAGAUAAGCAGGGGCAACCUCCUUUCCCAGUGGCCUGACAUUGGGUAGGGGAACUAAUUGGAAACAAGAUCAGCUCCUCCCUUGAGAAGCUGAACUUUGCUUUUCUGCCCCAUCCCUCUACCAGCCCUAGUCCUGGUACAUUCAGCCACAGAUAUCUCUGCUCGUGCACUGACUUAUUUUUUCCAUGAUGAAUAUUUUUUUCCAUGUUUAUUAUCAUCCAGCCCAGUGUAGUGCUGUCUGGCACACACACACACUGGGGGAAGAAAACCACGUAUUCAGCAAAUGGAGCAUACAGGGUCUAGGUUUUGUUUUGUCUUGUUUUUCUUAUUCCAGUUUCAGUAUAAAACUGUGUAGAAAAGGUACCCAAGCAACUCUCUGUCAUGAAAAAUGAUCAAAACUCCAAGUUAUGAGAUUAAAAAUUACUGGAGAGCGGAGAUGCCAAGAAGAGACAAGAACCCCUUUCUGCUGAAAUACAAGUUCUUCUUUUCAUCCUUUUGUUUCAUUUCACCUCAUGCUCAGAUAAGGAACAGAAUUACUUUGAAAUGUUUGCAUUAACUCUUUUUAUUUAGUAUUUGUUCUAGCCUUUCAAAGAAUUAUUUUACUGUAAGACAUGUGUGAGUGAUAUAUAACUAAUCACACUCCUCCAAAGCAGUAGAGAACUACGAGACAUCCUGCAGUCCUCAAACCUUUACUGUUUUUAUUGCCACAAUAAAAAUUGAUGCAAAAUACCUCUUCAAAGUAGAUAUAACAACCCACACAUACUAUUUUCAGUGAAGAUAGCAUCUAUUGCUUUGCCACCUUAAUUCAAAGACAGUUUUGUAACAAAGUUGUACAAUCAAAUCAUAUGUCUUCCCUGAUAAUUCAUGAGCUGUAAGAUUAUCAGUUGAGUUGCCCAUGGAAAAAGUACUGCACCAUGUAUUGUAUUACUUGAUUAAUUUUCUUUAAAAUUUUACUUUAAUUUUAACUUUUGGGUAAUUACUGUAUUGUGAUCUAAGUCAGCGAUCUCAAAUUAACUAUCAGCGUUAACUUUUGAAGAAACUCUACAAAUGCAUGAUAAUGAUGAAAUUUAUGUUCCUGUCAGUUAUUGUGUAAUGUCUACACCAUGGAAAAACAAACCUCCAGGUAUUUUAAUUCUAUUUGCAUAUAUAGCAUUGUGUUUUUCCUACGUCAUUUUUCAGAGUAGAAUUCUGAACUAUAAAGACACUACUAAAAACCUGUUUGGGGUAUUUAUUUAUUUUAUUUUUCUAAAUUGAAUUAUAUCUUUAAUGAAAAUGUGAAAGGAAAUAGUUUUGGGUAGCAAAUUGUCAGCUACUCAGACUUCUUUGGAAAAGCAACUUGUUUUGCAGGUACUGAUACACAUUGAUAGAAUUGUUCUCUGAUUCUACUAAAAUGGAGAAACACAUUUCAGUGCAACUGAUGUCUAUAUAUUGAACUGGAUUCUGGUCUCACAUCUGUUUAAAAUUCCAAAUAUCUUUUGCUCAAGCCUUGAUCCAACCCUGAGUGAUGUCACUGAUCAAUGACUUCUGGUGGGCUGCCGUUCAAGUGCUUUUACACCACUGUGUCUCUUACCACUAGGCUGAAAAAUGUUAGUUUUGCUACAUCUUUCUUUUCCUGUGAAACCAGAUUAACUUGGAAAGAAUCAGAAAUGCUUGAACAGAGAUACUCAAGGUUACUUUUUAUGACAAUACUUUUAAUUUUAAAUCUUUCUUACAAAUAAAUGUAAUUUGAUAGCAACACAAA